UACGAAGGGUGCAAACGUUUGCUCGGAAUUAUUGGGCGUAAAGGCGCACGUAGGCGGCUUAGCAAGUCGGAUGUGAAAUCCCUCGGCUACAACCAAGGAAGUGCAUCCGAAACUGCUGAGCUUGAGUACUUAAGAGGAUCGCGGAAUUCCCGGUGUAGAGGUGAAAUUCGUAGAUAUCGGGAGGAACACCAGUGGCGAAGGCGGACGAUCUGGGAAGAUACUGACGCUGAGGUGCGAAAGCGUGGGGAGCAACAGG
rnacentral:rRNA from 1 species